rnacentral:lncRNA from 1 species
AUGCGUGGGGAGCAGUUCGCCCUGCGCCUCUGCCUGCUGAUCCAGGUCCCCCGGUGCCGGGUCCCGGUGUGGCCGGACACGCAGCAAGGGCUGUCCGCCCGGGAGCAGCUCUGCUCCUCGGAGCGUGGGAUUGCACCCGUGGUUUGGGUGACCGCCCUCAUUGCACCGAAACGGCCCGAGCCCACGUCUGCACAAAGUUAUUCUGCUGCUAAUCGUGGAUCACAGCGGCGACAGCUUGCAGAUGUGAAGGGGGCUGCUGCUUGCAACCUGGGGUGCACGCACCCGUCUCACCCUUACCGAGCAGCCCCAUGGCGCCUCGCCUGCGAGCGCCCUGCCAGACGCUGGGUGCUGAUUUGCCAAGGAAAUGCCAUUGCAAAGGCCYGGGCGCCUGCCCAGCGGCUCCAGUUAGACCGGAGAGAAGCCCCUCAGCUCGUCACCAGAGCUGGUGCAAAAUACAGCCCCACUUUGCUGCCUCCGGACCCCCCAUGGCCUUGGGGCGACUGUACAGACCCUCCCCAGGACACGUCCAAGGGCCCCGAGCCAGAAGGGCCGCGGACCCAGCGCUGCCUGUGGCCGGGGCCCCGCGGAUGGGCUGGACCCGGAGCACUGCCCUGGCAGCCGGGCUGCCGUGCCGGGAAAUGGGAGCAGGAGGGAGGCAGAGGCCRCCUGAGCCCGGUGCCGUUGCGCUGGCAUAGCUGCCAGCCCUGGCUCUUCCCUGCGUUUUGCCGAGCGACCUCCUCAUCCGUGAGCCGUGCUCAGCGGAGCUCAUGGGCUGCUCCCUGCCGCGGCAGGCUCCGGCACGCGGGUGCAGCGUCCCCUGCUCCUCCUGCCUCUCUCGGCGGCCCUAAAGGCUCCAUCGCCUUCGGCAGGUUGCACCACGGCAGGGCAUGGUCCCGGGUGCCGGCACGUGUGCCAAGCCGUCCCCGGGUCCCUGGCAUGCUGGGCCGUGGCAGCCAGCUCCGGCGCAGUCCCCGGGCACGGCUGGGCAGCUGCGAUGCGGCCGGGUCGCUCCCGCUGGCAGCCUGCCGGGAAGCGUUCCYGGGCAUGCUGAUCUACCGGCACAGAGGUAGCCGAAGCGCCUCGUGCCCUCGGCUGCACGACGCCCAGCCGCAGCAGCCCGGGGCGGCCCCCUUYGCGCGUUGGGCAGGGCUCUGCUCCCCUCGCUGGCUCCCUUCGCCCCGCCGCUCCCGGAGCAGGGCUCGGCCGUGCGCGGAGCUGCCCAGCCCGGCGAAGGGAGGCCGUCCAGCUCCUCCCUCGGCUCCUGCCGGGCGCCGGCACCUCGCUGCUCUGCAGCUAGCUCAAGCYGUGCGUCGAAAUGCCUGA